UACGAAGGGUGCAAACGUUGCCCGGAUUUAUUGGGCGUAAAGGGCGCGUAGGCGGCCACGCACGUCCGUUGUGAAAUCGCCCGGCUCAACUGGGCGGGGUCGGCGGAUACGGCGUGGCUGGAGCAAGCUAGGGGGCAAUGGAAUUCCCGGUGUAGUGGUGGAAUGCGUAGAUAUCGGGAGGAACACCAGUGGCGAAGGCGGUUGCCUGGAGCUUUGCUGACGCUGAGGCGCGAAAGCGUGGGGAGCGAUCCGG
rnacentral:rRNA from 1 species